AAUCCGGUGUUUUUCAACACCACCAAAUCGCGUUGGAAAUUCUG
rfam:Volvox carteri f. nagariensis unplaced genomic scaffold VOLCAscaffold_65, whole genome shotgun sequence.